AGGAAAGUGGCGCAAGGGUGAAUAACCCGUGAGCAACCUGCCCGAAAGUCGGGGAUAGCCCAGGGAAACCUGGAUUAAUACCGGAUGUGGUCAACUUAUCGCAUGGCUUGUUGACUAAAGUUUUUCGCUUUCGGAUGGGCUCGCGCACCAUCAGCUUGUUGGUAAGGUAACGGCUUACCAAGGCUACGACGGUUAGGUGGUCUGAGAGGACGACCACCCACACUGGGACUGAGACACUGCCCAG
rnacentral:rRNA from 1 species